rnacentral:misc_RNA from 1 species
GUCUAGGAGGGCGGUCGCGUCACGCUCGGUGCUUUCUUCGUCGCGCGAUUCGAGGCAGAGGUAUUAAAUACGUGUGCGUGUGUGCGCGCGCCAAGUCCGCGGCGGCCGGUCGAUGUGAGGAAGCGAAAACGCGGAGCGGACGGCGCAACGGAAGAUGACCGCGCGUCACCGUGUGAUUUGACAAGUGAGGAAGGAAGCGCUCGAUGGGGGCAGUGUCCCGUUGAAAAAUACCGUGGUGGUUAAUACCAGUGAACUCUGAGAUAUCGGGAUUCCGAGCCGUGGACCGUGGUUGGGAAUUAACGAGCGGAAGUAUCGGCGUAGCGAGGGAGGCGGGGACAACUACGACAGCGAGCACAACAGUGGCGGCGACAAGGGUGUGAGGCGACCAGAAAUCGGAGCGGACGAAGGAUGACGGGCGAGGAUGGGAAACGCGGCGGCGGCGCCGGCGAUGUUACCACCGAGGCGAACGUGAACACGAAUGUCACCAACAACGCCAACGUUAACGCCAACAUAAGUGUCAGCCAGCAGAACGGCGGCCCGGAAAAGGCACCCGUCGUCGGUGGCAGCAACGUGGAGACGUUACCUCGCGCCGGGAAGCAGACCGACCCUAGCACUUCGUUUUUACGGGCAGCUCGCGCUGGGCAACUCGAGAAGGUCUUGGAGUACUUGGAAUCUGGAGUAGACAUCAACUCUUCUAACGCUAAUGGUCUGAACGCUCUGCACUUGGCGGCUAAGGACGGCCACUUGGAAAUUGUGAAAGAGCUCCUAAAUCGUGGUGCGAUCGUGGACGCCGCUACCAAAAAGGGAAACACGGCGUUGCACAUAGCUUCUCUUGCUGGACAAGAGGAGGUUGUACAAUUGCUGGUACAAAAAGGUGCUUCUGUGAAUGCACAAUCGCAAAAUGGAUUCACGCCGUUGUACAUGGCUGCCCAGGAGAAUCAUGACUCCGUGGUCAAGUACCUCCUCAGCAAGAGUGCGAAUCAAACGUUGGCCACCGAGGACGGUUUCACUCCGUUGGCAGUAGCGAUGCAACAGGGUCACGACAAGGUAGUGGCCGUUCUACUAGAAAACGACACCCGUGGUAAAGUUCGACUACCCGCCCUACACAUCGCCGCUAAGAAAGACGACUGCAAGGCGGCUGCCCUACUUUUACAAAACGACCAUAAUCCCGAUAUAACAUCGAAAAGCGGCUUCACUCCGCUCCACAUAGCCGCACAUUAUGGUAACGACCGAAUCGCUUCCUUGCUUUACGACAGAGGCGCGGAUGUUAAUUUCGCGGCGAAGCACAAUAUCACGCCGAUACACGUAGCAGCGAAAUGGGGUAAGAUCAAGAUGGUCAAUCUCCUCAUGAGCAAGGGGGCCAACAUCGAGGCAAAAACGAGAGACGGCCUGACACCUCUGCAUUGCGCCGCAAGAUCCGGGCAUCACGAGGUGGUUGACAUUCUCAUCGAAAAGGGAGCACCCAUUGGCUCAAAAACGAAGAACGGUCUUGCGCCGUUACACAUGGCUUCUCAAGGGGAUCAUGUCGACGCCGCGAGGAUUUUGUUGUACCACCGUGCGCCCGUCGACGAGGUGACGGUGGACUAUCUGACCGCGCUGCACGUAGCCGCGCACUGCGGCCACGUACGCGUAGCCAAAUUACUUCUCGACAGAAACGCCGAUCCCAACGCACGGGCGCUCAACGGAUUCACCCCGCUUCAUAUCGCGUGUAAGAAGAAUCGCAUAAAGGUCGUCGAGCUCCUUUUGAAGCACAAAGCUAGCAUCGAAGCUACGACUGAGUCUGGAUUAACCCCGCUGCACGUGGCGAGUUUCAUGGGAUGUAUGAAUAUCGUGAUUUACUUGUUGCAACACGAAGCCAGUCCGGAUAUACCGACGGUGAGAGGCGAGACGCCGUUACACUUAGCUGCCAGGGCAAAUCAAACUGAUAUUAUUAGGAUACUUCUUAGAAACGGCGCCCAAGUCGACGCCAGAGCAAGAGAGGAGCAGACACCGCUUCACGUCGCUUCCCGCUUAGGUAACGUCGAUAUCGUGAUGUUGCUGCUGCAGCACGGCGCGGGCGUAGAUGCCACAACGAAGGAUUUGUACACUCCGCUUCAUAUCGCUGCUAAGGAAGGCCAGGAGGAGGUCGCAUCCGUUUUAUUAGAAAAUAGCGCGUCGCUCACCGCAACGACCAAGAAAGGAUUUACUCCCUUGCAUUUAGCGGCCAAGUACGGUAACAUGAAUGUGGCUCGAUUGCUGCUGCAAAAGAACGCACCUGUCGAUGCUCAAGGAAAGAACGGUGUAACGCCUCUCCAUGUAGCGUCUCACUACGAUCACCAGAACGUGGCUUUACUUUUACUCGAUAAAGGAGCCUCACCUCAUGCCAUGGCCAAGAACGGCCACACACCUUUACACAUCGCCGCACGCAAGAAUCAGAUGGACAUUGCGACUACCUUGCUGGAGUACGGAGCGAAAGCCAAUGCAGAAUCGAAGGCUGGCUUUACGCCGUUACAUCUGAGUGCACAAGAAGGCCACACUGAUAUGUCGACCCUUCUUAUCGAGCACAAAGCAGACACGAAUCACAAAGCGAAGAACGGCCUUACGCCUUUACAUUUAUGCGCACAAGAGGACAAAGUAAAUGUCGCCUCCAUUCUCGUGAAGAAUGGUGCUCAGAUCGACGCCAAGACCAAGGCUGGAUACACGCCACUACACGUGGCAUCCCACUUUGGUCAGGCAGCUAUGGUACGAUUCCUCCUGAGAUCUGGUGCUGCUGUCGACAGCAGCACCAAUGCUGGCUAUACUCCCCUUCAUCAAGCUGCUCAACAAGGACACACGCUUGUUAUUAAUCUACUGUUGGAAAGUAAAGCUAAACCGAAUGCUGUAACUAAUAACGGACAGACUGCCUUAGAUAUCGCACAAAAGCUCGGCUACAUAAGCGUCAUUGAAACAUUGAAAGUCGUCACCGAGACUGUUAUCACAACAACUCAUACCGUCACGAUCGAGGAAAAAUACAGAGUUCAAGCGCCUGAAUCCAUGCAGGAGACAUUCAUGAGCGACAGCGAGGACGAAGGAGGUGGUGAUGAAAUCAGCUCGGCAGCCAUGAAUGUGUACGGGCAGCCUCCGCACGCGCAACACGUGUACCUUCCUUCUUACUACCAGGGCCAAAUGACCUAUACCCGUGAGGAUCCAAUGCUCAGCGACCAACAGCAGUACCGAUACAUGAUUGUUGACGACAUGAAAUCCAUGGCAGACGACUCGACGUUGCGCAUGAACGUGACGGACGACGAAAGAGAUAAUCGACAUUCCGGAGCUCCAACCAUAACAGAGAUGAUUACGAAAGAGCAUUAUCAACGUACGCACGCGGCCAAUCUUAAGCCAGACAACGUAGACAUCCACAGGCAUCCUGUGCACGUCGGAAUUCCACAAUGGAGAAACUUCUUGGUUUCCUUUUUGGUGGACGCGAGAGGCGGUGCAAUGCGCGGAUGCAGGCACAGCGGUGUCCGGGUGAUUGUUCCACCGCGCAAAGCCGCGAUGCCUAUGCGUGUCACAUGCAGAUACUUGAGGAGGGACAAAUUGACCAAUCCACCACCGUUGAUGGAGGGAGAAGCAUUAGCUAGCCGCAUUCUCGAGUUGGGUCCUGUGGGUGCAAAAUUCUUAGGCCCUGUUAUUAUCGAGGUACCACACUUUGCGUCGCUACGCGGGAAAGAACGAGAGAUAGUGAUUCUGCGGUCGGACAACGGAGAGACUUGGCGCGAGCACACCUUGGAAGCCAGCGAGGAGGCUGUCCAGGAUGUGCUUAACGAGAGCUUUGAGGGAGAAGAGCUAAGCCAGCUGGAGGAUCUCCAGACGUCUCGUAUCGUGAGGAUACUCACUGUAGAUUUCCCACAUUACUUCGCGGUAGUAUCUCGCAUCAGACAAGAGGUACAUGCGGUUGGUCCCGAAGGUGGUACUGUAUCAUCGUCCGCUGUGCCGCAAGUGCAAGCUGUCUUCCCGCAAGCGGCUCUUACCAAGAAGAUCAGAGUCGGUCUACAGGCACAUCCUAUACCGGCGGAUCUCGUGGCUAAGUUACUCGGGAACAGAGUGGCCGUGUCGCCGAUUGUCACCGUGGAGCCGAGACGACGAAAGUUCCACAAGCCGAUAACUUUAACUAUCCCGGUGCCGCAGGCAGCCAAUAAAGGCAUGAUCAAUCAAUACUCCGGGGACGCACCGACACUGAGACUGCUGUGCAGCAUAACUGGAUUGAGUCAUUUAGGGGGUCAGACUCGGGCAGUCUGGGAGGACGUCACAGGCUCGACGCCGUUGACCUUCGUGAAAGAUUGCGUCUCCUUCACCACCACAGUUUCCGCCCGCUUCUGGUUGAUGGACUGCCGUAACAUCUCCGAGGCCACGAAAAUGGCCACGGAGCUGUACACGCACGCGACGCACGUGCCCUUUAUGGCUAAAUUUGUCGUGUUCGCGAAGCGAGUAGAUCCAUUAGAAGCGAGAUUACGUGUAUUCUGCAUGACGGAUGACAAAGAGGACAAAACUCUAGAACACCAGGAGCACUUCACGGAAGUCGCGAAAAGCAGAGACGUCGAGGUUCUAGAAGGAAAAACGCAGUACAUGGAAUUCUCGGGCAAUCUCGUGCCCGUCCUGAAAACGGGCGAGCAGCUGCAGCUACCAUUCAGAGCAUUCAAGGAGAACAGAGUCCCGUUCACUGCGAGGAUAAAGGACCCGGAUGCCGCGGAUAUGAUGGGCCGGAUCAUGUUUAUGAGCGAGCCGAAAGUCCCGCGGGGCGAGCUACCGCAGACGCCGAUCUGCACGCUAAAUAUAUUGCUGCCGGAGAAGAUCUCGCCGGAUACCGCGGUCUCCGAGCUCGAUUUGCUGGAGCUGUCGAAGAACUACAGCUUCCUGCGCGAUGGCGGGAUAAGCAGACCGGAUGCUAUACACAGAGCGACUAUCCGUUUAACAGAUAUCGCCAAUCUCUUGGAUAAGGACUGGGAAUCGCUAGCGGAGGAGCUGAACAUCCCGCCUACCGAUGUGGCCCUGAUCAAGCAAGAGUAUCCCGAUCAACCCGCGCAGCAAGCUGCUGCCAUGUUCAAACUCUGGCAGAGCAGCGAGAACAAAGCCACGGGAAAUACGCUAGAAAAGGCUCUGAAUAAGAUCGGUCGAGAGGAUAUAGUAAACAAAUGUAUCUUCAACGUCGAGCUAGUGACCGACGAUGUGGAAAAGGCUGUGGCAAGAGUCCGAUUGGAUCAGCCAGGCUUUGACUCAUUAAAAGAGGAAUUGGGGCCGUCGAGAAACACGUCACUUCGCCGUAAUACAACUAUGGAUCCUAAGAUGGACCCUGAUUACGAAGAGCCUGAUAGAAUGAAGGACUCUGAAUCAGUCGAGGAUCUCAGCGUCACCGGCAACGUACACGAUAAACCCAAAGAGCACGUCACUAUCACAAACGGCACUGUAUUCAACGGAACCUCGACCCCCAUCAAAGACAAAUACGCGAGCGACGAGAAAGAGCUCGGCGACAUGAUGGCUGAUUACCUUGAGCACAAAUGUCACGCGGCCGACAUGAUGAGCAAAAAAUCGCGCGACGAACUGGACGAUCCGGAGAAAAAACGCCAGAAAGCGAUCGCCGACGCCAACAAGAUAGUCUCUGGUGUAAUAGCAGACGCAGAGAAAGAGAAGGGGAAGUUAGCGAAGGAAGGGUGGUCGGUGGUUUAUGAUGAUGAUGCGCGGGACAGUAAAGAGGCGCGGGGUGCAAUAGGGCAGACCUUAAUUAACGUUCAAUUAGAUAAAGCGGCCACCGAGCCGAAAGGUAUAGUUCCCAAACCGGUUAUCGAGCAAGUACCGAGUGUCGAGCCUCCGAUGAUUAGGAAGCAUCGCGACGACAAGCCGGAUUCUAAAACUAGCACGACGAAAACUGUAGUUUCCGUUAGCGGUGAUCCGAAAGUAGGUCAGACGGUAGUUACUAAAACCACGGUAAUCAAACAGUUCGAUCGUUCGUCUCCGACCAAGACCGUGAUCACGAAGGAAACGAUUGUUUCCCCAGAUAAAAAAGAUAUCGUUAGCGAAAAGGAGAAACUGUCCAAAGAGGGUAAGGAAGUCGACGAGAAGUUGACUCGGGGUGCGAUACCCACGGAUACGAGCGUAGCACAGAAAACAGUAAAAACUGAAAUCGUAACUCGAACUGAACAGAAAAAAUCAGAAGUUAAAGCUCCCACGGACAAGGAGAAGGGAAAAGAAAAGGAUAAAGGCAAAGAAAAAGACAAGGACAUCACUGUGAAACACACGGACAAGGGAAGAGAAAAAGAUAAAAGCAAAGAAAAAGACAAGGAUAAAGAAAAGGAUAAGGACAUCACUGUGAAACCCACGGACAAGGACAAGGGAAAAGAAAAAGGCAAAGAAAAAGACAAGGAUAAAGAGAAGGAUAAGAACAUCACUGUGAAACCCACGGAUAAGGACAAGGGAAAAGAAAAAGGCAAAGAAAAAGACAAGGAUAAAGAGAAGGAUAAGGACAUCACUGUAAAACCAGCGAAGACAUCAGCUUAUGAAGACAUUUACAAUGUGCAGCAUCCGACAGACAGCACGGAAGAGAAAUCUGACGAAGAAGGCAAGAAAACGAAGAGUAGCAGAAUAUUCUCGGGUAUCUUCAAAGGUUCCAAGUUGAAGAGGGGUAAAAAAGGUUCGAAGGAUACGUCGUUCGAUAGCGGCGACGAAGAACCAAGGGUUGUCGUACCGAAAACCUCAGAGCAACAGCAUCCCUUCAGCCACACAAUAGAUCCGCAUGACAUUAGCAAAAAACUCGCGGACAUCAGUGCCGCUCAAGUGAAAACGGCUACCGCGGAAUUUUUGCAUGAUUGUAGACGAGUUGCCGCAGAUAUGCAUGUACCUUACGAAGAUGUUACUAAACCAACGGAGAGUGCAACGAAGGAGGAGAAGAAAACAGAGCCCACCGAGAGCGACGAUGAUGGCAAGGAUAAAACUGGUUUCUUUUCGAGUUUGUUUAAGAGUAAAUCUAAAAAGGACGAAGACGGAGCAGCUAUACCCGCAAUUCACGUCGACAAACCUAAAGAAAGCGCGGAGCAAAUUGCGAAGAAAGAGAAGAAGCGAUUGGCAGCGGUCGCGAAAGAAAACGAAGAAUUACUCGAGAUGCAAAUGAAGGAAAAAGAGAAAGAAGCCGAAGCGUCUAAAGUCACCGAGGUGCCCAGUACGAUCGAAAAAGAAGCCGAAAAAGCCGCGAAGAAUGGUGUGAAAGCUGUUGAAGAUGUCAAGAGCAUGGUAGUCGAGAAAACUGUAGAUGAACAGUCACAUGUCAAAGAUGGUGAGAAAGAGAAAGAGGAGGAUCAAACAAAGGAGAAGGGAGGCUUCUUUGGCAUCUUCAGGAGUCCAAAAUCUAAGGAGAAAAAAAUGGGCAAGUCAAAGGAAACAUCCUUUGACAGCGGCGACGAGGAGAUUAAGAUUGCGACAGAAAAGCUGUUGGAUGACACGCGAAAAGUUGCCGAUAUCAGUGUGUUACCAAUUGCAUAUAAGAGUGACGGUACAAAAACCAUCCCCGAAGAAGAGGUACGUGCAUUUGUCUCGACUACUCACUACGACGCCGAUGUUCCUGCGGACAAAAUCGGCAAAUCUUACGAUGUUGUACAAACUAAGACGACAAUCGUAGAGAAGACGAUUACUCGUGAGACGAUAAACGGGAAAGCGGAUGUCGAUACAGAGAAAGAUCAGAAAGGAGAAACGCGAGACGCCGAGAAAUCCAUUUCCGAAGUGAAAUCCGAGACACCGGAACAGAAAGUAUCCGAAACGGAGAAAGAGACGAGCGAUGACACCAAGGAAAAGAGCGGCGGUUUCUUUGGCAUGUUCAAGAGUCCGAAACUGAAGAGCAAGAAGAGGAGUAGAUCCCGAGAGCAGAGUUCCUCAAAGGAGACUUCGUUUGACAGCGGCGACGAAGAAGUCCGAUUGGCAACAGCGAAACUUUUGGAGGAUACAAGACAGAUGGCGGAAAGUCUGCAGCAAGGUCCUACUGAAAAAAUAACAGAGCAGCGAGAGACAGUCGCGAAGAGUCCACCUAUUAAGAGCGAAGAAAUUCAGAAAUCUGUUAUUCCCGAAGAUGAAACGAUCGAAAAAGAUAAGGGAGGUGGUAUUUUCGGUAUGUUCAGAAGUCCCAGGCAAGCGAGAAGCUCUAGAAGCAGGUCCAAGGAGAAGACUCCGUCGCUUGAAUUGCCAGAUACUGUCCACGAGGAUUUACGAGAAGCAACUGCGAAAUUCCUCGAGGAUACGCGAAACAUGGCGGCUAUCACUGGUGAAUCUACAGAACAACCGAAGGAUAAAAUCCCGGCUGAAAUAAAGCCUGAGGAAGAUGAUAAAUUAGCGACUGGAACAAAGAAAAUUGCGACUACGAUAGAAGAUGUUGGUAAAGCUGUUAAGGAUGGCAAAGAUGCGAUUGACAAAAAGGUAGAUGAUAAAUCACGCGACAUUGUCGAGAGUGCCGAGGCUACGAAGGACAAGGCAACCAAGGAAGCAAAGAAAAUGAAAGAAAAGGGAUCAGGAUUUUUAUCAGGAAUAUUUAAGGGCGCGAAACAUGCUGUAGAAGAAGUAUCUGAUGAUGUUAAAGAUUUCUUGGAUGAAACAAAGAAAGAAGCUGCCUUAGAGGAAGCGCGAGCAAAAGAAGCAGCAGCUGCUGGCUUAAAGGAUUUAGAACAGAAGAAAGAUAGUGCAGUUGCUGGCGCGAAAGACGCUGCUGAGAAAGCUGUGGUAGACGUUAAGGAUGCCAAAGAUAAAACAGUGUCUUCUGUAAAAGAGAAGAAGGAAAAAAUCACUCAUAAGAUCUCGAAAGACGUCGAGAAGACAGCAAAUCUCACAGAAGCUACCAGCGAAAAAGUUGCAACAGAUGUGAAGAAAGUCGGUGAGAAACUAGAAACUACUGCAAAAGAUGCUGCACAGGCCGGAAAGGAAAUGAAAGAAGCAGCUACUACGGCGAUAAAGGAAGAUGCUAAAGUUGUGAAAGAAAAGUUAUCGUCCGGUGCUGAAUCAGUUGCGGAUACCGCAGCAUCUGCUAAAGACAAAGCUGCAAAGGAAGCGAAGAAAGUUAAGGAAAAGGGAAGUGGUUUCUUCUCCGGCAUAUUCAAAGGCGCGAAACACGCAGCAGAAGAUGUGACUGAUGACGUAAAAGAAUUCUUAGACGAAACGAAGAAAGAAGCUGAAUUGGAAGAAGAACGAGUUAAGGAACAAGUUGCUGCUGAUGUGAAAGAUUUAAAGGAUAAAAAGGAUGCUGUUGUUACCGGAAUUCAAGAAACGGCAGACAAAGCUGUUACUGAUGUAAAAGAUGCGAAAGAUAAAACCGUAUCCGCUAUUAAAGACAAGAAAGAUAAAAUUGCAGAAGAAGUGUCCAAAGACGGUGAACAAAUUGCUGAUACGGCUAAAACUGCUGGUGAGAAAGUAGUAACAGAAACAAAAAAAGCUGAAGAGAAAAUAGAAGAAGCUGCUGCAGAUGUUGCGAAAGGCGUUAAAGAUACGAAAGAUGCAGCAGUUAAAGAAAUAAAAGAAGAUACGAAAGUAGUGAAAGAAAAAUUAGCUGCUGGUGCUGAUGCGGUUGCUGAGACUGCAGAAGGUACAAAAGAUAAGGCAAAGAAAGAAGCGAAAAAAGCUAAAGAAAAAACAAGUGGAUUUUUCUCCGGCAUAUUUAAAGGAGCCAAACAUUCUGUAGAAGACGCGACUAGUGAUGUAAAAGAAUUCUUGGACGAAACGAAGAAAGAAGCUGAAUUGGAAGAAGAACGAGUUAAGGAACAAGUUGCUGCUGAUGUGAAAGAUUUAAAGGAUAAAAAGGAUGCUGUUGUUACCGGAAUUCAAGAAACGGCAGACAAAGCUGUUACUGAUGUAAAAGAUGCGAAAGAUAAAACCGUAUCCGCUAUUAAAGACAAGAAAGAUAAAAUUGCAAAAGAAGUGUCCAAAGACGGUGAAAAAAUUGCUGAUACGGCUAAAACUGCUGGUGAGAAAGUAGUAACAGAAACGAAAAAAGCUGAAGAGAAAAUAGAAGAAGCUGCUGCAGAUGUUGCGAAAGGCGUUAAAGAUACGAAAGAUGCAGCAGUUAAAGAAAUAAAAGAAGAUACGAAAGUAGUGAAAGAAAAAUUAGCUGCUGGUGCUGAUGCGGUUGCUGAGACUGCAGAAGGUACAAAAGAUAAGGCAAAGAAAGAAGCGAAAAAAGCUAAAGAAAAAACAAGUGGAUUUUUCUCCGGCAUAUUCAAAGGAGCCAAACAUGCCGUAGAAGAUGCGACUGAUGAUGUAAAAGAAUUCUUGGACGAAACGAAGAAAGAAGCUGAGCAGGAAGAAGUACAUCUUAAGGAAAAAGUUGCUGCCGGUGUGAAAGAUUUAAAGGACAAAAAGGAUGCUGUCGUUACCGGAGUUCAAGAAACGGCAGACAAAGCUGUUACUGAUGUAAAAGAUGCAAAAGAGAAAACCGUAUCCGCUAUUAAAGACAAAAAAGAUAAAAUUGCAGAAGAAGCGUCCAAAGACGCUGAAAAAAUUGGUGAUACUGCUAAAGCUGCUGGUGAGAAAGUUGCAACUGAAACGAAAAAGAUUGGUGAGAAAAUAGAAGAAGCUGCUGCAGAUGUUGCGCAAGGUGUUAAAGACUCGAAAGAUGCAGCGGUUAAAGAAGUAAAGGAAGAUGCGAAAUUAGUCAAAGAAAAAUUAACCGCGGGUGCUGACGCUGCUGCAGAAGCUUCAGAUGUUGUUAAAGAUAAAGCAAAGAAAGCUAAAGAGAAAGGAAGCGGUUUCUUUUCCGGCAUUUUUAAAGGAGCGAAGCAUGCAGUAGAGGAGACAACCGGUGAUGUUAAGGAAUUUUUGGAUGACACGAAGAAAGAAGCUGAAUUGGAAGAAGCACGUGCUAAAGAAAAACUUGCGGCAAGUGUGAAAGAUUUGAAAGAUAAAAAGGAUGCUGUUGUUACCGGAGUGCACGAGACGGUAGACAAAGCUGUUACUGAUGUAAAAGAUGCGAAAGACAAAACUGUAUCCGCUAUUAAAGACAAGAAAGAUAAAAUUGCAGAAGAAGUGUCCAAAGACGCUGAAAAAAUUGGUGAUACUGCUAAAGCUGCUGGUGAGAAAGUCGCAGCUGAAACGAAAAAGAUUGAUGAGAAAAUAGAAGAAGCUGUUGCAGAUGUUGCGCAAGCUGCUAAAGAUACCAAAGAUGCAGCGGUUAAAGAAGUAAAGGAAGAUACGAAAUUAGUCAAAGAAAAAUUGACAGAAAGUGCUGAUGCGGUUGCUGAGACUGCAGAAAGUGCAAAAGAUAAGGCGAAGAAAGAAGCGAAAAAAGCUAAAGAAAAAACAAGUGGAUUUUUCUCCGGCAUAUUUAAAGGAGCCAAACAUUCUGUAGAAGACGCGACUAGUGAUAUAAAAGAAUUCUUGGACGAAACGAAGAAAGAAGCUGAAUUGGAAGAAGAACGAGUUAAGGAAAAAGUUGCUGCUGAUGUGAAAGAUUUAAAGGAUAAAAAGGAUGCUGUUGUUACCGGAGUUCAAGAAACAACAGACAAAGCUGUUACUGACGUAAAAGAUACAAAAGAUAAAACUGUAUCUGCUAUUAAAGACAAGAAAGACAAGAUUGUGGAGGAGGUUUCCAAAGACGUUCAAAAAGUCGCUGAUACCACUAAAGCUGCUGGUGAGAAAGUAGCAAAGAAAACGAAAAAAGCUGGAGAGAAAAUAGAGGCAGCUGCUGCAGAUAUUGCGCAAGGUGCUAAAGACACGAAAGAUGCAGCGAUUAAAGAAAUAAAAGAAGACACGAAAGUAGUGAAAGAAAAAUUAGCAGCGGGUGCUGAUGCUGCUGCAGAUACUGCAAGCACUGCGAAGGAUAAAGUAACGAAAGAAGCAAAGAAAGCUAAGGAAAAGACAAGUGGAUUCUUUUCUGGCAUAUUCAAGGGUGCAAAACACGCUGCUGAAGAUGUAUCUGAAGAUGUGAAAGAAUAUGUGAGCGAUACGAAAAAGGAAACAGCAGAAGAAUUGGAAGAUCUAAAACAUAAGAAGGAUGACAUAAUACAUAGUACAAAAGAUACCGCAGAGAAGACUAUCGAGGAUGUAAAAGAGGCCAAGGAUAAGACUGUUUCCGCUGUGAAAGAUACGAAAGACAGGAUUGUGGACACGACUGCUGAAAGCGUAGAAACGGCAACAGAUAAAUUGAAAACAGCUAGCGAUGAUGUAGUUACUAAAACUAAGGAAAUAGGCGAAAAAGUAGAAACCACCGCUGUAGAUGUUGGACGCAGCGUGAAAGAUGCUAAGGACGCAGUAAUUACAGAAGCGAAAGAAGAUGCUAAAGCUGUGAAAGAAAAAUUGGCUGCUGGUGUUGAAUCUGUCUCAGAAACAGCGGAGGCUACCAAAGACAAAGCAGCUAAGGAGGCGAAGAAAGCUAAAGAUAAAACUAGCGGCUUCCUUUCAGGAAUAUUUAGAGGAUCGAAACAUUCUGUAGAUAGCGCGACAGAUGAUAUAAAGGAAUUCUUAGAGGAAACAAGGAAGGAAGCGGCGAUAGAGCAAGCACGUGUCAAGGAGGCAGCGGAAGCGGAACUGAAAGAUCUAGAGCGCAAAAAGGACAGUGCUGUUGCCGAAGCGAAAGAAGCAAAAGAUCGUGCGUCCGAGAAAAUAACUGAUCAACUAGAAAAAACAGCUGAUGCAACUAAAACAACAGGUGAUACAAUAAUAACAGAUACGAAAAAAGUUGUUGGUGAUAUUGCACAAGACAUUGCAGAUACCAAGGAUGCUGUAGCAACAGAAGUAAAAAAAGAUGUGCAAACAACAAAAGAUAAAUUAAAGACAGGAGGUGAUGCUGUAGUAGAGAGUGGCACAACUACAAAAGACAAAGUAGCAAAGGAAACAAAAAAAGUUAAAGAGAAAGGUAGCGGUUUUCUUUCGGGAAUAUUUAAAAGUGCAAAGCACGCUGCAGAAGAAGUAUCUGAUGAUGUAAAGGCAUUUGUGGACGAAACGAAGAAAGAAGCUGAAUUGGAAGAAGCACAUGCUAAGGAAAAAGUUGCAGCAGGUAUGAAAGAUGUAAAAGAUACAAAGGAUGCUGUUGUUACUGGAGUUCAAGAUGUCACAGAAAAAGCUGUUACUGAUGUGAAAGAUGCAAAAGACAAAACUGUAUCCGCUAUUAAAGACAAGAAAGAUAAAAUUAGAGAAGAAGUUUCCAAGGAUGUUCAAAAAGUUGCCGAUACCACGAAAGCUGCUGGUGAGAAAGUAGUAACAGAAACGAAAAAAGCUGGAGAAAAAAUAGAAGAAGCUGCUGCAGAUGUUGCGCAAGCUGUUAAAGACACUAAAGAUGCAGCGAUUAAAGAAGUAAAGGAAGAUACGAAAUUAGUCAAAGAAAAAUUGGCCAUAGGUGCUGACGCGGUAGCUGAGACUGCAGAAGGUGCAAAAGAUAAGACGAAGAAAGAAGCGAAAAAAGCUAAAGAAAAAACAAGUGGAUUUUUCUCCGGCAUAUUCAAAGGAACCAAACAUGCCGUAGAAGAUGCGACUGACGAUGUAAAAGAAUUCUUGGACGAAACGAAGAAAGAAGCUGAGCUGGAAGAAGCACAUCUUAAGGAAAAAGUGUCUGCCGGGGUGAAAGAUUUAAAGGAUAAAAAGGAUGCUGUUGUUACCGGAGUUCAAGAAACGGCAGACAAAGCUGUUACUGACGUAAAAGAUGCGAAAGACAAAACCGUAUCCACUCUUAAAGACAAGAAAGACAAAAUUGUAGAAGAGGUUUCCAAGGAUAUCCAAAAAGUUGCUGAUACCACGAAAACUGCUGGUGACAAAGUAAUAACAGAAACGAAAAAAGUCGAGGAGAAAAUAGAAGCAAUUGCUGCAGAUGCUACGCAAGGCGUUAAAGACACGAAAGAUGCAGCAGUUAAAGAAGUAAAAGAAGACACAAAAUUAGUCAAAGAAAAAUUAGCAGCAGGCGCUGAUGCUGCUGCAGGUACUGCAAGCACUGUAAAGGAUAAAGCGACGAAAGAAACGAAGAAAGCUAAAGAGAAAACAAGUGGAUUCUUCUCCGGAAUAUUUAAAGGAGCCAAACAUUCUGUAGAAGACGCGUCUGACGAUGUAAAAGAAUUCUUGGAUGAAACGAAGAAGGAGGCUGAAUUGGAAGAAGCACGUAUUAAGGAAACAGUUGCCGCCGGUGUGAAAGAUGUAAAGGAUAAAAAGGAUGCUGUCGUUACUGGAAUUCAAGAUUCUGCUGACAAAGCUGUGACUAAGGCAAAAGAUGCGAAAGAUAAAACUGUAUCCGCUAUUAAAGACAAGAAAGAUAAAAUUGCAGAAGAAGUUUCUAAGGAUGCUCAAAAAGUUGAUGAUGCCACGGAAGCUGUUGGUGAGAAAGUAGUAACAGAAACAAAAAAAGCUGGAGAGAAAAUAGAAGAAGCUGCUGCAGAUGUUGCGAAAGGCGUUAAAGAUAUGAAAGAUGCAGCAGUUAAAGAAAUAAAAGAAGAUACGAAAGUAGUCAAAGAAAAAUUAGCCGCCGGUGCUGAUGCGGUUGCUGAGACUGCAGAAGGUACAAAAGAUAAGGCGAAGAAAGAAGCGAAAAAAGCUAAAGAAAAAACAAGUGGAUUUUUCUCCGGCAUAUUUAAAGGAGCCAAACAUUCUGUAGAAGACGCGACUAGUGAUGUAAAAGAAUUCUUGGACGAAACGAAGAAAGAAGCUGAAUUGGAAGAAGCACGUGCUAAGGAAAAAGUGUCUGCCGGUAUGAAAGAUUUAAAGGAUAAAAAGGAUGCUGUUGUUAGCGGAGUUCAAGAAGCUACAGACAAAGUUGUUACUGAUGUGAAAGAUGCCAAGGAGAAAACAAUAGCUGCCGCAAAAGAUAAGAAAGAGAAAGUUACGGACGAAAUUUCGAAAGAUGCUGAAAAAGCUGCUGAUGCUGCGAAAGCAGUUGGUGAGAAAGUCGCAGCUGAAACGAAGAAGAUUGGUGAGAAGAUAGAAAUAGCUGCAGCAGAUGUCGCCCAAGUUGCUAAAGACACGAAAGAUGCGGCGGUUAAAGAAGUAAAGGAAGAUACGAAAUUAGUCAAGGAAAAAUUGACAGCAGGUGCUGACUUUGCUACAGAUACUGCAAGCAGGGCAAAGGAUAAAGCGACGAAAGAAACGAAGAAAGCUAAAGAGAAAACAAGUGGAUUCUUCUCCGGAAUAUUUAAAGGAGCCAAACAUUCUGUAGAAGACGCGUCUGACGAUGUAAAAGAAUUCUUGGAUGAAACGAAGAAGGAGGCUGAAUUGGAAGAAGCACGUGCUAAAGAAAAAGUUGCUGCCGGUGUGAAAGAUUUAAAGGAUAAAAAGGAUGCUGUUGUUACCGGAGUUCAAGAAGCUACAGACAAAGCUGUUACUGACGUAAAAGAUGCAAAAGACAAAACUGUAGCCGCUGUUAAAGACAAGAAAGAUAAAAUUGCAGAAGAAGUGUCUAAAGACGCUGAAAAAAUUGCUGAUACCGCUAAAGCUGCUGGUGAGAAAGUUGCCGCUGAAACGAAAAAGGUUGGUGAGAAAAUAGAAGAAGCUACUGCAGAUGUUGCGCAAGCUGCUAAAGAUACCAAAGAUGCGGCGGUUAAAGAAGUAAAGGAAGAUACGAAAUUAGUCAAAGAAAAAUUGACAGAAAGUGCUGAUGCGGUUGCUGAGACUGCAGAAAGUGCAAAAGAUAAGGCGAAGAAAGAAGCGAAAAAAGCUAAAGAAAAAACAAGUGGAUUUUUCUCCGGCAUAUUUAAAGGAGCCAAACAUUCUGUAGAAGACGCGACUGGUGAUAUAAAAGAAUUCUUGGACGAAACGAAGAAAGAAGCUGAGCAGGAAGAGGCACGUAUUAAGGAAAAAGUUGCUGCUGAUGUGAAAGAUUUAAAAGAUAAAAAGGAUACUGUUGUUACCGGAAUUCAAGAAACGGCAGACAAAGCUGUUACUGAUAUAAAAGAUGCGAAAGAUAAAACUGUAUCCGCUAUUAAAGACAAGAAAGAUAAAAUUGCAGAAGAAGUGUCCAAAGACGGUGAAAAAAUUGCUGAUACGGCUAAAACUGCUGGUGAGAAAGUUGCCACUGAAACGAAAAAGAUUGGCGAGAAAAUAGAAGAAGCUGCUGCAGAUGUUGCACAAGUUGCUAAAGAUAUCAAAGAUGCGACGGUUAAAGAAGUAAAGGAAGAUACUAAAUUAGUCAAAGAAAAAGUAGCAGCGGGUGCUGCAGAAGCUACAGAUGUUGUUAAAGAUAAAGCGAAGAAAGCUAAAGACAAAGGAAGCGGUUUCUUUUCCGGCAUUUUUAAAGGAGCGAAGCAUGCAGUAGAAGAAACAACCGAUGAUGUUAAGGACUUUUUGGAUGAGACGAAGAAAGAAGCUGAAUUAGAAGAAGCGCGUGCUAAAGAAGCUGCUGCUGCGAAACUGAAAGAUAUAAAAGACAAAAAGGACAGUGCAGUUGCUGCUGGUAAGGAUGCUACGGAUAAAACAAUAUCUGAUAUAAAAGACACUAAAGAAAAAACAGUUUCUGCAAUAAAAGAUAAAAAGGAUGAAAUGGCGAAGAAAAUAUCCGAGGAUUCUCAAAAAGUAAUUGAAACCACGAAGGCGGAAGGUGAUAAAUUAGUGACGGAUGCGAAGGCAGUUGAAGAAAAAAUUGAAGGGAUUGCAAAAGAUUUCGCACAAGACAUUAAAACUACUAAGGAAAAAGCCAGUGAAGAAAUUAAAGCAGAUGUAAAAGUUGUAAAAGAAAAAUUAGUUUCGGGAGCUGAAGCUGUAGCAGAUGGUGCACAAACAGCCAAAGAAAAAGGAGUGAAAGAGGCAAAGAAAGUUAAAGAGAAGGGUUCUGGAUUUUUCUCGAAUAUAUUUAAAGGAGCAAAACAUACGGCUGAAGAUAUAUCUGAUGACGUCAAAGGGAGUGUGGACGAUAUCAAGAAAGAAGCUACUUCUGAAGGAGAACAUAUCAAGGAUAUCAAGGAAGCGACGGAAUCAGGACUGAAGAAGUUGAAAGACAAGAAAGAUAGUGCGAUCAGUAGCAUAAAGGAUACGAAAGAUGAAGCAAAAGCAGCUAUCAAAGAAUCAUCGGAAAAAAUGACAGAAAAAUUGUCUGAUAGUGUCGAUAAAACUGCUGAAAGUCUUAAAAAAGCAAGCGACAAAGUAGCGACUGACGUAAAGGAAACGACCGAAAAAACAAAAUCAGUGGGACGAGAUCUUGUAGACAGCAUUAAAGAUACAAAGGAUAAAAUCGCAAAGGAAGUUAAGGAAGAUGCGCAAAUAGUCAAGGAAAAAUUAACGGACGGAACGGAAGUCGUUACAGACAAGGCAGAAGCGGCAAAACACAAAGUCGCUAAAGAAGCAAAAAAGGCAAAAGAUAAGGGAUCCGGUUUUCUUUCUGGAAUGUUUAAAGGUGCGAAACAUAGUGCAGAAAGUGCAACUGAUGACAUGAACAAAUUUUUGGAUGAAAUGCGAAAGGAUGCAUCGUCGGAACACGAUCGUUUAAAAGAAGGUACAGUUGCAGAAUUGAAGCAUCUGGAACAUAAGAAGGAUAGUGUUGUUAGCAGCACGAAGGAUAUAGCGGAUCAAGCUGUUGCUGAAAUAAAAGAUGUCAAGGAUAAAACUGUCGCAACUGCAAAAGAUGCGAAGGAAAAAAUCACUAAAAAAGUAUCCGAAGAUAUUGCAAAAACUGCUGAUGCAGCCAAAGGUGCUAAAGACAAAGUAACAUCAGGAGUAAAAGAAGUUGCUGAGAAAGUAGAUUCAACGGCACAUGAUAUUGCACAAGGAGUUGCAGAUACAAAGGAUGCAGCUGUCAAAGAGGUGCAGGAUGAUGCGAAAGAGGUAAAAGAAAAAUUAGCAGCUGGAGUUGGAGCUGUAGCUCACGGCGCUGAGACUGCUAAGACUAAAGCAAGCAAAGAAGCGAAAAAAGCUAAAGAAAAAGGAUCUGGUUUUCUAUCGGGAAUAUUCAAAGGUGCCAAGCAUUCCAUUGAAAGUGCAACAGACGACGUUAAAGAAUUUUUGGACGAAACGAAACACGAAGCGGAAGUGGAAGAAGCUCGCGCUAAAGAAACUGCUGCAGCAGCUUUGAAGGAUUUGGAGCAUAAAAAGGAAGCUGUUGUUAGUAGUGCAAAAGAUACAGCUGAUCAAGCAGUUGCUGGAGUAAAAGAUGCCAAGGAUAAAACUGUCGCAACUGCAAAAGAUGCGAAGGAAAAAAUCACUAAAAAAGUAUCCGAAGAUAUUGAAAAAACUGCUGAUGCAGCCAAAGGUGCUAAAGACAAAGUAACAUCAGGAGUAAAAGGAGUCGCUGAGAAAGUAGAUUCAACGGCACAUGAUAUUGCACAAGGAGUUGCAGAUACAAAGGAUGCAGCUGUCAAAGAGGUGCAGGAUGAUGCGAAAAAAGUAAAAGAAAAAUUAGCAGCUGGAGUUGGAGCUGUAGCAGACGGUGCUGAGUCUGUGAAAACCAAAGCGACUAAAGAAGCAAAGAAAGCUAAAGAAAAAGGAUCUGGUUUUCUAUCGGGAAUAUUCAAAGGUGCCAAGCAUUCCAUUGAAAGUGCAACAGACGACGUUAAAGAAUUUUUGGACGAAACGAAACACGAAGCGGAAGUGGAAGAAGCUCGCGCUAAAGAAACUGCUGCAGCAGCUUUGAAGGAUUUGGAGCAUAAAAAGGAAGCUGUUGUUAGUAGUGCAAAAGAUACAGCUGAUCAAGCAGUUGUUGGAGUAAAAGAUGUCAAGGAUAAAACUGUCGCAGCUAUGAAAGAUACAAAGGAAAAAAUUACUAAAAAAGUAUCCGAAGACAUUGAAAAAACUGCUGAUGCAGCCAAAGGUGCUAAAGACAAAGUAACAUCAGGAGUAAAAGGAGUCGCUGAGAAAGUAGAUUCAACGGCACAUGAUAUUGCACAAGGAGUUGCAGAUACAAAGGAUGCAGCUGUCAAAGAGGUGCAGGAUGAUACGAAAAAAGUAAAAGAAAAAUUAGCAGCUGGAGUUGGAGCUGUAGCAGACGGUGCUGAGUCUGUGAAAACCAAAGCGACUAAAGAAGCAAAGAAAGCUAAAGAAAAAGGAUCUGGUUUUCUGUCGGGAAUAUUCAAAAGUGCCAAGCAUUCCAUUGAAAGUGCAACAGACGACGUUAAAGAAUUUUUGGAUGAAACGAAACACGAAGCGAAAGUGGAAGAAGCUCGUGCUAAAGAAGCUGCAGCAGCGACUCUGAAGGAUCUGGAGCAUAAAAAGGAAGCUGUUGUUAGUAGCGCAAAAGAUACCGCUGAUCAAGCAGUUGCUGGAGUAAAAGAUGCCAAGGAUAAAACUGUCGCAGCUGUGAAAGAUACAAAGGAAAAAAUCACUAAAAAAGUAUCCGAAGACAUUGAAAAAACUGCUGAUGCAGCCAAAGGUGCUAAAGACAAAGUAACAUCAGAAAUAAAAGGAGUCGCUGAGAAAGUAGAUUCAACGGCACAUGAUAUUGCACAAGGAGUUGCAGAUACAAAGGAUGCAGCUGUCAAAGAGGUGCAGGAUGAUACUAAAAAGGUAAAAGAAAAAUUAGCAGCUGGAGUUGGAGCUGUAGCAGACGGUGCUAAAAGUACUAAGAGUAAAGCAACCAAAGAAGCAAAGAAAGUUAAAGAAAAAGGAUCCGGUUUUCUGUCAGGAAUAGUUAAAGGCGCUAAGCACGCUGUCGGAAGUGCAAAGGAUGACGUCAAGGAAUUCCUGGAUGAAACAAAGCACGAGGCGGAAAUCGAAGAAGCUCGUGCAAAAGAAGCGACAGCGGCUGGAUUGAAAGAACUGGAACACAAAAAGGAUACUAUUGUUGCCACCGCAACGGACGUUAAGGAAGACAUAAUUACUGAUAUCAAGGAUACGAAAGAUAAAGCUGCUAAAGAAGUUAGCCAGAUCACAGAUGCAACAAAAUCUACAAUUGACAAGUUAGCCACUGAAACAAAAAAGGUCGGUGAAAAAAUAGAAUCGAAAGCCACAGACAUUGCGCAUGAUAUAAGCGAUGCUAAAGAUAGUCUCGAUAAAAGAAUAAAGAAAGAUACGAAAACUGUGAAAGAUAAGCUAGUAUCGAGUGCCGAUGGUAUCGCGGACGAUGCCAAAGUAGCCAAGGAUAAGCUUGUGAAAGAUACGAAAAAGGCAAAAGAUGAAGGCUCUCAUGUACUAUCGGGAGUUGCCGGGGGUGCGAAACACGCAGGAAAGAAAGUUUCUGAUGAUGUAAAAGACUUUUUAGAAACAACCAGGCAGGAAGCAGCAGCUGAAGAAGCAUCUGCUAAAGAAGCCACAGCAGCAAAGCGGAAGGAACUCGAGCAAGCAAAGGAUAAAGCGACCGGUGAAAUUAGGGCUACCACGGACAAAGUUGUGAAAAGCGCGAAAACCGCCAAGGAAAAGAGCCUGUCCAGCGUAAAAGAUGCGAAAGAUAAAACAAUCUCCACUGUAAAAACAGCAGGUGACAAAAUUGGACAAGGUGCAUCGCAAGUUGGCAGCAGGAUUAAGUCCACCAGUCAGGAUGUGACGCAGAAAGCUAAACGUGCCAAAGACGCCACAGCGAGUCAAGUAAAGGAAGAUUCACGUAUAGUGAAGGAGAAAUUGGCAACUGGCGCGGGCACCAUCGCGGACACUGCGAGGUCCGCCAAGGAGAAGACCGUGAAGGACGCUAAGAAGACCAAACAAACGACGAGCGGCUUUUUGUCAGGUGUGGCAAAGAGCGCUAAACAUGCAAUAGAAGAUGCAACAGGUGACGUGAAAGAGUUUAUGGAGGAGACCAAGCAAGAAACGGCCGCGGAAGAAGCCCGCACCAAAAGCGAUAUCGCUCAAGCUAAGGACAAAUCCACCAGAGUGGUGAGCGACGUGAAGCAGAAAUCCGUUGGUGCCGUCAAAGACACGAAGAAGAAGAUCACCCAGAAGGUGUCCAAACCCUCAAAGGACGCACAUGUAGCGCCUGCUUCCACGGGCGAAGUAUCGAGAAAGUUAUCGACUGAAACGCGGAAGCUUAGUGGAAAAGUAGGGUCCGGACUCGCGGGCGAGCGCGUACGGGAGGUAGUUGUUCGUAGAUCCGGGGUAGCCGGUAAACCGGAAACGUCGGACGACGUUGAGCAUUUAACCGAGUCAGUUAGGGUAAAAAAAGUCUCUCGCAUUCCACAAAAAAGGAUUAGUCCGGGUAAGGAGACAACCAGUGAUGUCACGCUGGACGCUUCAGGUUCACGUAGUAGAGUAGUAGAGACGGUAUCCACCACGAUAGGGCACCCCGAGCCUCGUACACGGCACUCCGUCACCACAGUCGUGACAAAGUCGUCUGUGCAAACGACCCCACCGCCACCCAGUUCACUCGCCGAGUUCACUGACAGUAGAACCGAAGACGUGACCGAGGAGGCUGCGAGACGUGCCCAAAAUCUGGCAGAACAGGCAUACACCUCGGCGAAAGCAGGGCAUGAUUCGGCUGAGAUUGAUGGGACUGUAGAGAGGCAUGCUACUUCUGCUCCGUCAAAGCAACCCGUUCCCGCCCCGCGUCACUCCACCACCAAGCCGUCUACCAAACCUGAGUUCCAUCUGGAGCUCAGAGACGUCCCGCGAACACGUAAAAUGGUAGCUGAACCGCCACUCAAGUCGCAGGAAGCGCAGUCGCCGAGCAAUGGCAGUCCGAAAAGUAAGAUACCCCUGAAGAUCGAUUCGUACGCGUCCAAACUGAACGAUGACUUUGGCAUUGUCACCACGAGAUCCAUCAUCGAAUCGGACGUUCCGCAACCGGUCUCACGAACCGUCAGAUACAUCACCAGAGAGUACACAGACGGGGAACUGAAGAAAGAGACCGUGGAGGAGAAUGUACCCCCAAAGAACGCGAUUCGCACGAUCGAACCGGGCGACGUAGCUGACAUCACGAUGAGGCGAGGGGAGAAGCCAGCCUCGUUGGAACAAGUACGACGAACCACGACCACAGUAGUGACCAGCGACCCGUCAGUCGAUCCCGAGAAGUUGGAGGAACUUCUCAAGACCGGCGGAGUCGUGGAAACGGUGAGAACCGUGACUUUGACGGCAGAGGACGGCGCCCUGCAGCCCAUGACGCGCGAGGAAGUCGUGAGGAGGAUAAACCAGGUCGCCAGCACGCUACCAAGCGAGAUUUUUGACUUUGGUGACAAGCUUCCAGAUUCAUCCACCACCACAGUGAGAACCGAUAGAUCAGAAGCUGACGGUGUCGUACAGACAGUUACAACUGUGCAACGCGUGACGAUGGAAGCGCCGGAGACGCAGAGGACCGAGAGGGUUGUAAGUACUGUAGUCUCCAGCGGCGGGGGCGGCGGCGGCGGCUAUGGUGAUGCGGAAUCCGCUCUAAAGAGCCUCCAGGAACGAUUGGCGAGAUCCGAGAUCGGCGAGACCGCUUCCUGGACGGCGGAUGAUCAUCAGUGGGAAACAAUGGCACAGGGCUCUCAAGACACGUCGCCCGGCUCCGGCGGUGCCGACGUGUUCGCCAACAGCAACAACAACCACAGCAACAAGAACGGUGGUAGCGCGAGGCACGAUGUGCACAGCGACACCGAUAGUGACGGUUCGCCGCAACCUAGAAGAAGAUCACCGAGCAAGAGGCGUACAUUGGGCAGUUCCAGCGGGUCGGAUGUAGCACUGCACGAAGGUGCGGAGCUGUCCCCGUUGGAGGACGACCAAGCUCUCUUCUGACAAUAAGCAACUCAAGAUAAAGCUAAAGUGUAGAGGGACCAACAGUCGUGUUUUUUAGUCACGUUAGGAUUGUUAGGCGAAUCGUCAUAAUCUGACUUUUUGCAACAUAGCGAGCCAUCCUACAUGGAAACGACAACGAUCGAGGUGGAUCCUGUCACGCAGG